rnacentral:tRNA from 1 species
GUGGGUAGAGCUCAGUGGUAGAGCACUUGCUUAGUAUGUUUGAAGUCCUGGGUUCAAUCCCCAGUACCUCCA